UAAAAUGAUCCUGCCCAGUAGGUGGUGUUUGACCUUUGUUGCAAGAUUUCAUUUUGUUGAAAGUGAAGAUGCUUGUGCAUGCAAAUUCUUGACUUGAUCUUUUUUGUUUUGUUUUGUGUUGCGUUUUUCUUUUUAGAUACACGCCCCUUGACGGUUCAAUUCCCUCGCCUUUUUCCAGGACGCCAAGAAUAAAUACGCUGCCACAUGCAUACGCUUUGAGUUGAUUUUGGGAGGCAAAUAAAAAGAAGCCGCGGAGGUUUCUGCGAGCGUUCCAAACGCUCCUUGGCGCUUAAUUGGCUGCUGAUGAGGCUAUUUAUGACGUCAUCCCUCCCCUGCCUCCUCCUCCUCCUCCUCCUCCUCCCCACCUCCAUCACCUCCUCCGUCUUUCUCUCCUACCCCAACCAACAUGGCCGCUAAGUCUGAUGGAGCAGCGGUGGCUGUGGAAGAUGACAACCCGCCCAGGAGCCUCUCGGAGCCAGGCCAAGCCACCCCCGCCACCUCCACAGCGGCCGCCGCCUGUGCCGCCCGGCCCCGCCGCGGACCCCCGGGCGGACAGGCGUACACGCUGCUGGACUGCUGCUGGGUACUGUGCGCCCUUCUCGUCUUCUUCUCCGACGGCGCCACCGACCUGUGGCUGGCCGCCGACUACUACCUGCGAGACGACUACUGGUGGUUCGGCCUGACGCUCGUCUUCGUCGUGGUGCCGUCCGCCGUCGUGCAGGUUCUCAGUUUCAGGUGGUUCGUGUACGACUACUCGGAGCUGAGCGGCGCGGACAGGGCGUCGGGAACGGCGGGCGAAGCGAGCGGCGACGCCGCUGUAGGAACCAAGGACAGCGACCAGCGCGGCGCGGCGGCGGGCAACGCGGCGAACGCGACCGCCGUCCCCACGUCCUCUUGCCCGUCUGGAGCGACCGAGAAGGGCGGGCGACCUCGGAGAUGUUGCACAGUGUGCAUGUGGGUCUUUCAAACGGUACUCCACGCCUUUCAACUGGGACAAGUGUGGAGGUAUAUCCACGCACUCUACCUGGGCGCCCAGAGUCGUUGGCAUGGCGACGGUUCCCACCACCGCUUCCACUGGCGGCUAAUGUUCGAGAGCGCUGACAUCACCAUGCUUCGUCUCCUGGAGGCAUUUCUUAAGUCGGCACCGCAGCUUGUCCUCCAGCUAAGCAUCAUGAUCCAUGGAAACGCUGUCCUCCCGCUGCAAGGUCUGUCGGCCUCGGCCUCUCUGGUGUCGCUGGCCUGGAUGAUUGCAUCCUACCAGAAGGUUCUGCGGGAUUCGCGUGAUGACAAGCUGCCCAUGUCCUACAAGGCCGUCAUAGCCCAGAUCCUCUGGCACCUGUUUACCAUCGGGGCCAGGACCGUGGCCUUUGCCCUCUUUGCCUCCGUCUUUCAGCUCUAUUUUGGGAUAUUCAUCGUCAGUCACUGGUGUAUAAUGACAUUCUGGAUCAUCCAAGGUGAGACUGACUUCUGCAUGUCCAAGUGGGAGGAGAUCAUCUACAACAUGGUGGUGGGCAUCAUCUACAUCUUCUGCUGGUUCAACGUCAAGGAGGGGCCCAGCCGCAUCCGCAUGACUGUUUACUACACGGUAACACUGGCUGAGAAUGUGGCCCUGACAGCCGCCUGGUACACAUACCGCGGGCCUCACACCUCCGACUCCUACGCCCUGGUGGUGGUAUGCCUCGUGGCCUGCAGCUUCGCCUUGGGGACUUUCUUCAUGUUGGUCUACUACUGCUGGCUGCAUCCUGACGGGCCGGUCCUGAGCGCAAAUUGGGGAGGAUGUGUGGACGAGGGGAUAGUGAGUGCAAGUGGCAUGGUGGGUGUGAUCGAUGCCUGUCUCACCCCGUCCCAAGGUUCGCAAACUGACAUGGUCAUCACCAGUCCUCCCAGGACUCUACCCAGGACUAAAGACACAGGGGACCUGGUUCCCGGGGAACAGGACAGGGACAGGGAAAGGGAUCGGGACAGUUGCCUGCCGGUUUUCCAGGUGCGUCCUUCCCCUUCGUCCUCCCCAGCACUCCUCCACAGGACCUCCUCGUCGCAAGAGGGCCCUGUGAUCCGGAUCGAUCUCCCAAGGAAGAGGUAUCCGGCCUGGGAUGCCCACUUCAUUGACCGUCGUCUGCGCAAGACCAUCUUACUUCUGGAGACCACGUCAGCAUCCAGCCCUAGGAUACAAUACCGGAGUAGCAUGAUGGGCAGCAAAGAGGUGCUGGAGUAUGAGACCACCGUUUAAGCCAAUAGGGCUCUACAACCGAGAAAUGCAGUCUGGGAUCAAGGCUCAGCCGGAGACCACCAGUUCUCAUCCCAGGACUCGCUUUGCCAGGAGACACUUGGACUUAGAACAUGGACAGUCUGUUUUUUUUCAUGAAAGACGGGUGUCUAAAUUUGAUUGUAAAACGUGAAGUGCAAUCUUUGGCCAAGGCACUCUCCCUGCUUGACCAGGUCCAGGUUGAAGCUCCAUCGGUCAUCUGAUGAGGGAGUAGGAAUGGGGAUAAUCUUCGUCUAAUUGAAACGCUUGGAGCUAGUUAACAGACGACUUCUUGUUUCAUGGAGGAUGAUGAACAGACGGACUGUGCCAUGGUGAUUCUGAUGAUGCAACACUUCCAUUCAUACCAUGGAGAGUCAGAAGAUAAAAAUAACAGUGUCAACAACAUUACAACAGCAAAGCGAAUGAUGGACUAACAGGUUUGUGCAGUACUGUAUGUCGGUUGUACAUAAGAUACGUUUUCAUGACAUAUAACUUUGAGUUUUCGGUGGAUUAUUUUGAUUGAUUCUGACUUAAGCAAAAAUGUUCUCCGAGAAGGGACUAUUUCCAAAAGAGUCAUUUCAUCUUGAUCAGGAUGAUUCCAUUUUUACACAAUUUAGCACUUGAAACAUUACUUUGGAAAGAUAGAAACUCAGUUAUAAUGUUGCAAUACAAAUAAUGUCACAGUUUUUUUUUCCUGUAUUUUUAGUCAAAAGUCUUCAAAAAGAAUUUUGUGGUUCACAUUUAAAAUAAAUCACGAAAAACUAAAAUGUAAGGAAACACACUGGACAGUGAAUAGAAGACUUUACCGAAAUGUAACGGCGAUUUGCUUCCCCCUGUUGAUAGGGAAGAUAACGUGCUGGUUUGUGAAGAUGUCAUAAAACAACUCACCCCGAGAAAACAGUUUCCAGCAUCAUGGAUAACAUAGAUUGGAUUAGUCUACUGUUUUAGGAGUGUUAAAGUUAUAAACAUAUCAAGCUGUCCCCUUCCUUUCGGACCCUUGUGCUCACUAUGUGCUCAUCAUGCAUCCAUGUUAAAAUGGGAUGUGCCAAAAGGACUAAGACACCUGGGUUUUGUUUUUUUCCAAUGUAAUGUCUUUCUAAUACAGUGCAUUCAGGAAGUAUACAGACCCUCCUCCAUUGUUACAUUUGCUAUGUAGCCACCUCAUCGUAAAACAAUUGUAAUUAUAUUUUUCCUGACUCAAGAUAAACUGGCAGCAUGGUGGAUGACUGGUUAGAACGUCCGCCUCACAGUGCAGAGGUCAUGGGUUUGAUUCCAGGCUCCGGCCUUUCUGUGUGGAGUUUGCAUGUUCUCCUCUCGCCUGUGGGUGUUUUCUCUGGGCGGUGAUCCUCUGGGACCACAAUGUGCUCAGAUGAAGAUGGAAUGUUACAUUUUUGUUUGGAAUUUAAAAAAAAAAAAAAAAACACGGGUAAGCACUUCCUCAGAUUUUAUUUCGAGAUGAACCGUCCCUCUCAAAUGUUUUCUUUUCUGCCGCUGGUUGAACCGCAGCACUCCUCAUGCGUCUGCUUGCUUCUGCGAAUGUACAUAAUGACAGCACAAGGUCACAUGUCAAGAUGAUCAGAUCGUCUCCGAGAAGAGAUGAGUGCAAAGAUCAAAUCGCUGUUGUCGUCAUGGUCGGAGACAACUCAUGGAUGUUGACGGCGACGUUAAUGGUGCUGCAAAUGUCAACUGAGCGUCGCCCCACCCCACCCGUCCAUUCCCCUCCCCGUCCCUCUAUCAUGUCAAACAUGAUAAGCUAAUGUACAGAUGUUGUCGGUUGUUGAGGGCGGGGCUUCGCUCUCGAAUGAACCAAUCCUUUUGUUUUUGCUGUGGUGAUUAUUUAUUAUUAACUUGAGAUGAAAAAAAACAAAGAUAUCAAUCAUAUUCUGUUAAUUGAUGCAAGUAUUUAUGUUUAUUUUUGUAUUUGUUUUAUAUCUAUUUCCUAUUGUUUAAAUCACUCAGUGGCCAUAUCUUUGGUAUGACUCUUACAUUAAGAUGUAAAAAGUAGAUUUUUUUACUCAUUUCGUCUAUAUGCCCAUAAACAGAGUACGAUGUGUAUGUGGGUGUGGGUGUAUGUAUGUGUGUGUGUGUGCGUGUGUGUGUGUUUGGAGGCAGGUUGAUCAUGCCGCAUCAUUAUCUUCAGAGUGAAACUUUCUUGACGGUGUUAUACAUUUGAAAAAGAAAAAAAGAACUCCACAAGCUGUGCUAAUAAAUGUAGAUGGGGAACAAUUACUGUAGUAAAUAUGGCUGAACAGCA